rnacentral:rRNA from 1 species
AUUGAACGCUGGCGGCAGGCCUAACACAUGCAAGUCGAGCGGAUGACGGGAGCUUGCUCCUUGAUUCAGCGGCGGACGGGUGAGUAAUGCCUAGGAAUCUGCCUGGUAGUGGGGGACAACGUUUCGAAAGGAACGCUAAUACCGCAUACGUCCUACGGGAGAAAGCAGGGGACCUUCGGGCCUUGCGCUAUCAGAGGAGCCUAGGUCGGUUUAGCUAGUUGGGGGGGUAAUGGCUCACCAAGGCGACGAUCCGUAACUGGUCUGAGAGGAUGAUCAGUAACACUGGAACUGAGACACGGUCCAGACUCCUACGGGAGGCAGCAGUGGGGAAUAUUGGACAAUGGGCGAAAGCCUGAUCCAGCCAUGCCGCGUGUGUGAAGAAGGUCUUCGGAUUGUAAAGCACUUUAAGUUGGGAGGAAGGGCAGUAAGUUAAUACCUUGCUGUUUUGACGUUACCGACAGAAUAAGCACCGGCUAACUCUGUGCCAGCCGCCGCCGUAA